GAGUGGUGUUUGGUUUGAUACGGGUGGUUGGCUCCCUGCUUGAGCAGGCACGGCCAUGCGUACAUUCCUUUUCAGUUUUGCGGCAAGGCUUGUAUCGUCUUGAUUGUAAAUGUGGGUUUCCUGUGUUGCAUACCUGAUCAACGGCAUCGUUUUGAUCAAAAGUGUACCUUUUUCAUCAGGCGUUGCACCCGCAUCGUCUAAUGAACCGCGUAGCAUUCUCUUUGAUCCAUAUAGUCGACGAGCAUUCGUUGAUUGUUUGGCCCAUUGAGGGUGGCUUGGUCUCUCGGAUAUGGAAGCCAAAGUGGGCAUGGGUUCGCAUGAUCCCUUUAUUGCCCUUAUUGAGCGUUCUCGCUUCUCUUACACGACUGCCUUUCACGUAUGGCACGUCCCAGCGUGUUUGGCUACGUCGAAGAGGAAUGAUACCUGGUUGAUCCUGCCAGUAGUCAUAU
rnacentral:misc_RNA from 1 species